AUCCCCACUGCACCUGCCCCUUUUCUGCUGACUGGUACAAUCCAGUGGUGGGCUGACACUAAGCUCCAGUUUAAGGAACAGGGUUGUUCUUGUGUCAUUACUCUAUGCUGAAAGUAUGAGAACAGCC